UGAAGGCAGAAAUAUGGACAUUAUUUUGAAUUAACAAUUGUUAACGAUGACCUUCAAAAUGCGUAUGAUCGCCUGUAUACAGCCGUAUAUCUCGUGGCAAAGGAACCACAAUGGAUUCCUGAUAAUUGGUUAGCUUGAUUAGGAGAGUUCGAUUGAAAUCAGAAGCAACAAUCUUAAUAUUUUCUGUAUAUUUUCCAAGUGAUUGCAACCGUGAAAGACUGGCACAGCACAAUGCCUAAAAUAACGGUCGGACUUUGGACAUUUUCCGAACAUUGCCAAUUACAGUUUUUCUGAUCAAAUGCUGAAUUGGUCGGACAUUUUAUCCGGACGAAAAUAGUAAUCACCUUCCUUGAAAGAAUGGGUUAACCACAAACAUGCUCCCGGCAAUGAAUAUAAUUGUAAAAUAAAAUUUAAAGUUUAUUUAUUUAUUUAUCGACGUGACUUACCCAAGGGGCAUUUAGGGACGCCGGGAGUCAAAAUGAAAUCGAUAAAAUUGCGACGAGAUUUGAAAGUUUCGGAUCAAGACAUCAACUUUCAUUUUGGACAGACAUUCUUUAUUAAUUAAACACGCGUUAUUUCGGGCUCUGCAGCAUAGUCCAAAACAGAUCUGUAUUUGUAUAUUGAAUUUAUUUGCUUUAUUGGCAUGACCUUUCGUACAGGCAGUUGCUAAAUCUUUACAUAUGUGCUAUAUUAAAAACUAUGUGCUAUUUACAAGAAAAUAAGUGAGAAAAGUAUAUCAAACUAAAUGGAAUAGUGUCAAAAUAGACUUAAUUAAGCUUACUUCACAUGAUGAACGUGCGUUUUAGUCAAUUGAACAGGCGCAACGAAUUUUAGGCAACUUUACUAAAUUUUUAGUGAAGAAAGCCAAGCAAAUGCUGAUUUCGAAAAUUUUCAUUUGAUGAGUGUUAAACCUGUCCAGUAUAGGCUGACUAAAGAAAUAUAAAGGUAUCCCAUAAAAAAUCAAAAUCUGUUUAUAGUUUACCUCAACGUUUGUCUACAUAUCUCGAUUUGAAUCUUCAUAGGUAGGGUUAAAAAUACGUGUGCGGAAAAUUUCUCUUCUUCAAUAGUUUUUCUGAUAUGUCGUUUUCUUUGACAACUUCGUGAAUUAUCAGUGACAAAUCCAGGAAUCAGUGAAUAUCAGAAAAACCACUAUAAAAGAAGAAAAAUUUUCCGCACACGUUUUUGUGGCUAGCCCGUUCGCGGGCUAGCCACAAUGUAAAGCUAAAACUGUAAGAGUUGUGAAGUUGUGACGGAACUUGUCGACUGCCUUCGGAAACUGUCGUUGAUGGCAUGAGGCAAUGAUAUUAAAAAGCCAGUUGUCACAGAAAAGGUAUCUUACAACUAUUAAACGACUUUAAUACUGGAAGAUGCCUCACUCAGCAAAAUUACAGUUGGCAACGCUGGGAGAAAUACUCGAAUGAAUUUUUCACAGCAAACGGUAAGUUAAUUUUUGUUAUUUCAAUCGAGAUUUUAUUUAUGUUUACAAUUUGUGAAUCUGUCAUUUCAUAUUAUAUUAUUAAAACAUUGUCAUUGCUAUCGUGUUGCUAUUCAUGUCUGCUCUGGACUCUGCUUCUGGUCAAGGAGAUUUUGAUCACGCUUCAUAUAAAGCUUUAUAUAGUGAGUUUAUAAUCCUGUUGAUAAUCAAACGUUCUUGCACAGAUCUUGAAUUUUAAUAUACCACAUUAUGUGGGUAAUAGUUGGCAUAGCCCAUUGGUGGCAUAUUUUACAACAAUACUACAACUGCCCUGUCCACUUGCAGGUAUAAAACUUUAACUACACUUAACACAGAAAACAGGCUGGACUAUUUUAUAUUAAUAUAGUCUAGUAGUUACUAGCGUGGAAGCUCAGUCUGUUUACAUACAGUUGAAGGAUCUUCUAGAUGGAAGUAAUUGAGUGAAAAUGCAUUAUUUUACAUUUAUUAGAUCUAUUAAACCAGGAGAUGCAACUGUAGGUGCAGUUUAUUUUUGGAUAUCUAGAUGUAAAUGUAAAUAUGUAUUAUAUAUCUGAUCUAAGAUCAGCAGGGACGUAGAGACAGGGGAGUGUGUGUGUGUGUGUGUGGGGGGGGGGUAAACUCCACAACUGUGAAACUCAGGUAAAGCUCAAGUAUAUUGUAAAUUUUGACAUUCUCAGGUAAACUUUGUGUAAAAGUUGUUAUUUUUGUAAAAUGAUGACCAUUUGACAUCCGACACCUCCCCCCCAA
rnacentral:lncRNA from 1 species